rnacentral:lncRNA from 1 species
CUUGAACUGGUGAAGCCCAGAGGUAGCCCCCUGUCUUGGACAGUGGUACAAACCCAGUGUCCUGUGUGGGUAGCCGUGAACUCCAGUGGGUACGAGCAAAGGCAGAGGCCAAAGGACUCCGGAGGAGCUGGCAGGGAGUUUCUGCCAUUCUUCAUCCAGUCUGAAAUAGGCAAGUUUGCCUUCAGGAGUGCAGCAGCACCAUUCUGCUCCCAGACUGGUGGGGGAAAGAGCAGGCAGCGAAGCUCUGUGGGAGGAAUAAAUUCAGUCUCCGCUUCUGCUGUCGCUGUGAUGCAGGCUGAACUACGGCAGGGAGGCCGUGGCGGUGGAGCUCUGUUACUGCAGAGUUCUGCCUCAGCUGGUGAUGCAAGAAAGAGCAUCUCGGGAAGGCAGUCCUCGGGGAAGUGGUGACUUGGAUGCGAACUCGGCGCCUGCCGCACAAGGUUAGAAAUUAGACAGCCGGAAUCCCCCAGGGCUGAGCGUGGAACCACGCUCCUUGCAAACCACGCGCGUGGCCCCACAGCUGCAGCACCGGCUGCAACCCUUCUGCAAAUCCUACCAACAGAGGAGUGUUUGGAAGGGCUCCAGAAACACGGGAGGGAAACGCAUUUCUUCCAUCUGAUUUGGUGGUGACUACUUGAGCAGAAGGGGAGGCAGAAAGCAGGGGAUGGGAAGAGUCUCUAUAUUUAUCUUAAUAAGAAGUCAUUUAUCUGCGGUGAUGGCUGCUGUCGCAGUACGGCUGAGUGAAAUUGUCAGGCUGUGUUAAGAUAGCGGGCUCUCCUUUUCUACGUGAAGGUCUUACCUACCUAAAACUGUGAAGAGCCCUCAGCAUUUGGGGUGUGCUGCAGUUGCAGAUUUGUGCCAGCCUGUUCCUGGUAGUCGUGCUCUCUCCUUCCGGGCCGCACUCUGCAGCAGCACCAUGGGAGAUGCUCGUGCAUCAGCAGCACAGCAGUGAUGGCACUGGCAUGUUUCUAUGCGGGGCUGGGAGUUGCAUAAGCUGCUCUGAGAUGAGGUGACAGAUAACUGUGUCACUGUCAUGGGAACACACAGAUGCACCAUCCAGAGCGUCGGUUGCACUGCAGUCGUGGGAAAGUGCAAACUCAAUCCAGCCUGUACGACUAAGGGCUGCCCCAAGCUAUGGGCCAGCAAAACCUGCACGCAGCUGAGCCCUACCUCCAGCGAGCAUCACAGGAGGUGAUUCAUUACAUGCUUUCCCCUGAGUGGGAGGUGGCAGAGAGCCAGCAGCCCAGGAGAGACAGAUGUUGCCUUGCUUUGCCAUGUGGUCAGCACAGC